GCUAGGCUUCUUGCGCGGCUGCGCCCACGCUGUAACUUGACAGGCCGGUAAGGUUUUCUCAAAAAAAAAAAAGAAAAGAAAAAGACAGGCCGGUAAGGACCCACCCCUUCGCCCUCAGGCACGGCGGGGGUCGCCGCCCACUUCGACUCCACACCAGGGCGCCGCCGCACGCCCAUUUAUCGGGCAGCACCGGAGCUGCUCUACUGCACUGAUGUGCUGCCCCUAAUCUCUCGUACAGCUCGGGUUUCGAGGCGGAGGCGGAGGGGGAGGAGGCGCAGGCGCUGCAGCUCGCGGACAAGUCGAGGAACUGCCCACGGCGCGAGCGGCGAGACUAAGGUAUGUCAUGUGCCAUUUCUGCUCAGGUCCUCAGGCUCCAACUUGUGUGCCAUCGCAUGUAGUGCUGUGUUAGUUGAAAAACUCCGCAGAUGCUCGGAUGGUUUGGUAGAACAAACCAGUACUUUAGAUUUGAAUCCACAUGCUCCCAAGAGAGAAUGGGGAAUAAAAGGACGAAUCCUUAGGCGGCAGUGUGUAAGCAGACCACUUGUCUUAGGAUUGCUGUGGACUUGAUGUACGGGCACUAAUUAAUGGGCCACCGAGUUCUCAAAUGGAAGGGGUUAGGUCUUGAUGUACGAGCAGCUUCAUGCUUGAACACUAUUACCGGUAGAAACGAGCAAUAUUAGAAUCUGAAAGUCAUACAAUUACUAAAUUCCAGUUUACGGACGAUCAAUGAACGCAGUUAAGCAAAUUACCAAACAUUAUCUAAGAGGAUCCAACAAUAAACACAGUAGGCGUCUCCCUUUCACCGUCCAGAAAAGAGGCUCGUUUGUGAAAUCCCAUUGGUAUAGCCAGACUGGAAGGAUAUCCCCUCGUUUCUUGCUCUUGAAAUCAUCAGCCGGAACUGCCUUGGAAUUUCAGUAUCCAUGGAGUCCGUGUGUCGAGGGGCCCCAGAAACAGCUGGCAACCACACUUUGAGCCUUGAAGCAACCUCGGUCAUGGUCGGCCUGUUGAUGGCUGCGUUUUCGAGGCAGUUCAUGGCCAGGUCCACUACACUCUGCAGGGAACUGGCAUCGUACAGAUCCAGCAGUUUCUUGUCUGCAACAUUGUGAAUGCUGCCGUUAGCUAUCUUUUGCCGCACCCAAUUUGGGAGGUGGACAGUUUGAGGGUCCAUAACUACUGGGGAUUGGCCGGUGAUGAUCUCCAAGAGCACGAUGCCGAAGCUGUAAACAUCUGUCUUGACAGUGAGUUGGUAAGUUGCAUGGUACUCAGGGUCGAGGUAGCCAAGAGUGCCAGCAGCAGCAGUAGAUAUGUGUGUGUGAGCAUCAUUAAAAGCCCGCGAAAGCCCAAAAUCAGAUAUUACCCCCACCAGAUUAUUGUCCAGAAGGAUGUUUGGGGUCUUCACAUCUCUGUGCACUAUUGAUGGGGUGCAUAACUCAUGUAAAUACUCAAGGCCUGUUGUUUAUCAAAACUCGUAGUUUGUCAACACACACAUACAUCACCUCAAAAGAAAGAAAACUCACACAUACAUACAUACAUGGCCUAAAGGCAAACACACAACUGAAGUACGGACCUUGUGCAGCAUCAAGUGCAAUAUGAAGCCGUUGUUCCCAAUUCAAACUAUAGUCAUCUCCUGCAUCAAUACAUACAAAAUUAAUGUAAGUGCCAUUUGAUAUGUGCAUAAUAGCAUAAAUACCAGUUUUCCUAACACUUGCACAUAUUAUUUUAGAUCGACUCCAUUUAAGCUAACAAAUGAUGGAUAAACACACAAUGGUUAACCAUAUCAUCAUUGGCGUUUUAAGAUCUGAGUCCUGCAUAAACAGGCACUUUGAUCUUCCAGAGGUCACUGCUUUUCUGUUGUGAAGCUUGAUCCACAACGUGGUAAUUAUCGUGUUGAAGAUAGCCAGACAGCAUUGCUGUGAGGGAUUGGUAGGCAUAGAUUUAGAUAAGAGAAUAACUUGGGAGAAUAGAUUGAUUGUUCUUGCCUCCUUCCCAAACCUUUCAUGACAUGCACAUAUAUGAUACUCCCUCUGUAAACAAAUAUAAGAGCGUUUAGAUCACUAAAAUAGUGAUCUAAACGCCUUUACAUUUCUUUACGGAGGGAGUACCUCCUAACUUGACAGUUGACACCCAUGGGGUUGCACUCUAACUAGGAAACCCUCUGAUAUGAGCAUCUCAAUUCAUACUUUCCUAAUCCUUGCUGUUCCAAAUUAGUCUUCCUAAUUCUACCUGUAACUCAGUUUAAGUUGUCUCCUUCCUGAACUCUUCCCUAGCCGACUCCUUCCUUGAAUCUUAUUGGGGUCUCUUUCCUGUACAGAACUCACCUACCCUUGCUGGCCGGCUGGGAAGCUGCAAUGCAUCCGAUUCUGCUUUGCGGCAAUGCACUAAUGUCCACAACAUUUUCAUUUGCUUUACCAGCGCAUGUUUUUAUAUACAAAUCCUGAAAUCCAGUUAACAAUAGAACGAAGCUAUUGAAGCAUUCUUUGAAUACAUAUCUCUCUAGUGCUUUGUUUCUUACUGGCUUUUCAAAGAUGUGCAUGUUUAUAUUUUGUGACUAUCAUGCCAUGCUUUUGAAAAAGAAUUUUACUUUGGUAGCCCAAAUUUGUUACGGAAUAUCUAUGACCAUGCCAUGGUUAGGAUUUUAUGCAGCUCUAGGAUGCAGCUAUGGUCUCUCACUUGUUAGUUGAAUAUCUCUACAGAGUAAAUUAUGUCUACCAACUCAACUGUAUUGACUAGCAGCAGCAAUAACAGUUUAGGCAAUCAACUGUACCUUUAAUAAGGAGAGCCAGUUUCGAAAAUCCUGGUUGCAGUACCAUGUCAAAGCCAGAAUAGUUUGAUUUUAGAGUGUCCUUUUUGUACAUACAACUAGGUCCUGCCGGAUUUUAUUUUUAUGGAUGCACAGUAUAUUGAUAAGAUUUGAGAAAUAGGUGAUUCCAAAGUUGUUAGUGAAAGCUGCUGGCAUUUGGGUCCCUGUGUAACUGUUGGUUUCCCAGGAAGUAAAACUCUGAACUGGUGAACUUGCUUUUCAGAUUGAGCAGAUUUUAGUUUUGAUUGAAUGAUUUUAUUUUAUAUUGAAUUAAAGUACAAAUGCAACUAGUGAUAAUAACAAACUGGAAGUUGGAUUUGUUGUACCUAAGUCAACUAUGCUUGGCAUAAACAUUAGGAGAAGUUAAGAGAGAAACCACCUCUUAAAAGCUGUUGAAGAUUUCCUCUGGGCAUAAAAUCAUAAACGAGUGCUAGGCACUUCUUGUUCUGGCAAUAUCCUUGCAGAGUCACAAGGUUCUUGUGAUGAACUUUGGACAAGGUUUGCACCUGCAGCAACGGAUAUAAGUAUCAAAUAUCCUAGAACUAAAGCCAAUCGCAUCAUUAUGUGGUAUGGACUCUGUAAAGGGUUUUGGACGUCUUGCGGACUUAUUAUUAUUUUCUAUUGAAGAAAGCAUUGAUUCGACCUAGUUUGUUUUGUGAUAUACCUCUGGGAGGAAGUCUUUUGACUCUGCUAUUGAUGUCUCCAUGAGCACCUUCACAGCUACCUCGUCACCAUUUUCCAGUGUGCCAUGAUAAACAAUACCGAAACCUCCCUUUCCAAUGAUUGAUUGGAAGUCUUUUGUUAUGAGCUUCAGCUCUGUGUACGUGAACCGUCUGAUAUCAAUAUGUAGUGGAGUUUCCUCUUCAUACAUGGAAUAAUCCUCAUGGUCUUCUGACUUCCCUGCUGAGUCAAGAAGUUGUGCUUUACAUGAAAGUUUAGAUACGAAGCUGCUCUCUAAUAUCUACCACCCAUUGCAUCGAUUAAGGGAAUAUUAGAGCAUAGAUUUUUGUUUACCUUUCCAGCAUAACUUCCAGAGUAUGCACAUCACUACUAGGAGGGAUACCAGUACCACAGGAACUAUCACUGCGAUGAGUAUGAUAUGUAUGGUGUUCUUCUUAUUUGAGCAGUAUGCAUCUUUGACUUUUGAGCAUAGGGGAUUGCCUUCUAAUCUAGUGGCACAGUUACACAACAUAUAGAAAAGAGCAAUUCAUAAGACCUUAGCUGCAACAGUUAUAUAAAUAUUUAAUAGGGAGAAGUAUAUUUUUCGUCCUUAAACUCAUGCGAAAGUUUACAAAUCGUCCCUCAACUCUAAAACAACCGAAACUCAGUCCCUCAACUAUUCAAACCAGAUAUUUUUCGUCCUUGAUAACGCUUCAGGUUGUUUUACUCUGACAUGGACACUGGUUUUGAGUAAUACCGGCCAUGUGCCCUGGGGUUGACCACCACGUCAGUUAAGUGAAGACCUCCCGUGGAAGAGAACGAAGGACAGUAUGGCGCAGGGUCAUGCAGCUUCAGUUUCGAUCCAGGUCACCUAGUUCUUGUCAUACAUGACGUUCGAGGAGUCCAGCAUCGGGAAGCACGGCUGCUCCGCCAUCGCCGCCAGCGGGUGCAGAAGGGCGUACGCGGCGACUUGGCCGCGGCUGCCGCAGGGUCUGACGGUAGUGGGUAGCAAGUGCUCAAAUAGUCAAAGUCGAAGGGCGACAGGAGGAAACCGAGGCUGGCGUCGUCGCUGACCUGCAGCUCAGCCUUGGCGUUGGUGACGCGCUGCACGGUGAGGCGGAAGGUGGCUGCGUCGAUGCUGAUGUACGUUGUGGGCAGACGCUUGGAUGGCCGCGACUGCUGCUUCCCUAUCCCUGCGUGGCUGCCCACUGCCCCUUGCAUUCCUGUCUCUCCUUCCUCCCCUCCUUGGAGCACGCGCCCGAGCCCACUCGCCUGGAGCUCCAGCGGCAGCCUGGAUCACCUACACGAGCCUGCGGGCAUCAGGAGGCGGCAGAGGAGAGCAUGUGGUGGCAACGUCGGGCAGCCAGAGAGUGGGCAACAGUGAGCAGGGGCGGCAGCAUCGGGCGGCACUCGGUGAUGGUUUGUUAUGGGAUGAUGAUGAGCAGCACACCGGGGACUCGAGGGAGAGCCGGAGAGGUCAAGUAGGCACGGUGGAGGAGAGCGGGGCGCUACGGCGGGUCACUGGAGGCGAAGAAGAUGACAAGGGCGCCAGCGAUUGAGGCUCUCCCGUUUCGAUCUGGUGAUCUCAUAGAUCCUCCGCGUCCAUGGUGUGCAGGAAGCUCAGGAGGAUGGAGGCGUCCAUGGCGCCUAGCCCCUUUCCCCCUCGUGCCGAUACCAUUAUGCGCCAUGGCCGCGAGCUCGGCUGGCCUCCUGCACUACGGCCACGUACGCCCCUGGUCGCAGCCUCGCUUGCGCGCGCUCCUGCAGCCCAACGCGCGUCCUCCUCUGUCCGCUCCCGCGUGCCCGACCGUGCUCCGGGCGAGCACCCUCUGCGCCCUGGCCCUACCCGUGAGCGCCACCGCGUGUUGACCGGCCCUGAGCCAUUGCCAGGUGGGCCGACUAGUUUAUUUAGCUGCCAGUUUUGAGCUCCAGACUAAAACCGGGUCACAUGGGCAGUAUUUGUCAAAACUGGGUAUCCACGUCAGACCAAAACCGCCCAAAGUGUCAUGAAGGACGAAAAAUAUUCGGUUUAAUUAGUUGAGGGACUAUGUUGCUGGUAUUGGAGUUGAGGGACGAUUUGUAAACUUUGACAAGAGUUUAAGGACGAAAAAUAUACUUUUCCCUAAAUAUUAUGAUUAGAGGAUGAGUCUGUUUUCUAACACAACUAGCCAGCUAAACAUCUAUGCACUCUAAAAGAACAAUUUUAGGAUAUCCCAUCUAGUCACUCUAAAGGAACAAACUUCAUGGUUUGUAUAUCAUGUGCAAUUACUAAAGUCCUUAUCUACCUCUCUUGUUGAAAGCCGAUAGAUAACAAAACAUUUAUAUUUGAUAGAUGUGAGUUGUGUAAUUGAGGGCGUGUUUGCAUCAAUGCAAUGCCCUACAGAAGUGUGGCUUCACACACUUUGUGUGGCACCCAAGUUGGCCACCACAACUUAGUCAAAUUCUCUAUGAGUUCAUGUGUAUGACAAGUGGGGCUAGGCGCUAGGAAAGUGUGCCAUGCCACAAAUAUAUCAUUAACCAAACAGUCCCCAGAGAAAGCCAAACCUGUGUAACUCUAGUUUGGCAAAGUGUGGGUCUGAACCAAAUGUUUAGCCAAUGUAUUUGUAUGUUCAAAGAUUAUUGCCAAACCUUAAUUUUUUCCAAUGAUAACCAAUUGUUGAGCCUAUUUCUUUUUGGCGUAGCUGCCAAAGCCUUUCAGUCCCAAACAAGUUGGGGUAGGCUAAAGUUGAAACCCAUAAGAGCAUCUCUAGUGAUGCCCUAAAAUUUACAUUGUUUUGUUUUGAGGGAUUAAGGCCUAGCUAGCAGAUCCCUCAAACCAAAAAUCCCUAAAAAAAAGCUUUUCAUCCCCCAAAACGCGGCCAUCCCGAAUUAACUUAGUCCAAAGCCGCAACUUCUUAGUAAAAACAGUCGGCCGCCAUGUUGUCCCCGUCGCCGUUGUUCGGCUCCCUAUGCAGGAACCGUUGUGCGCGACCAUCCUGCAGUCCUGCCGCCCUCUCCUGCACUUUCUCCUCGUUCUUCGGUGCCGGAAUCAACCUUUUCACCGCCGACGAACCCGCCUUCCCAUCGCUCCGCCCGGUGGUCACGAGGUCUGUUUCAUCGGGAAUCGAACCGGACGACCUUGGAGACGGCGUAGGAAGGUCCAAUGCAACUCCUAGACGAUCAACGGCGCCAGAACUGGCGAUGAAGACCGCCCCACCACCCCGUUGCCGCCCCACAUCCCGGGCAUGGAGGUUUGUCGCCUCCAUGCCCGGGAAUCGCCUCUGCAGACUGCUAGGCAGCGUCGCCGGUGUCCUCUACCGUCGUUCGGCCUCAGCCCGAGCUCCAUCAUCAGACGCCAUGUCUCUAACCCUGUCCGCCCACAAGUUAUUUGUCAAAAUGCCUCUAUGUUUUUUUCUUGUUUUCAUCAAAGAAAGGUCUUGAAUUGUGUAGAAAGAAGAAGAUGAUGACUUUGAUCUGGCGAUGGCUGCCGUGGUGUCUAUGGAGCAGGAUUUCCCGCGGCCGAGGCUCGGUUCUCGGUUUGAUCAAAGGACGUUUCUUCAAGAUAGAAUCAUUGGUCAUGAUGGUUUAGUGAGGGGUUACUUUGCGCCGAAUGCAGUAUAUGCUUCCUAUUUUCGGCAUAGAUUCCGAAUGCACCAAGAUCUUUUCAGCACCAUUGCAAAAGCUUUGGAGAAACAUGAUCCUUGGUUUCAGCUAAGAAGGAAUGUAGCUCACUGCAAGUGCAAUUCGAUUGUUGAAGAUUACCGCAACCAUGGGAGUCCUUGCUUAUGGAUGCCUGGUCGAUGCCAUUGAUGACUAUGUUCGCAUUGGGGAAGAUCUUAUUCUAGAUUGUGUGAGACGAUUUUGUGAUGCUGUGACCGAAAUCUAUGGACCGAGAGUACUUGAGGGCUCCCAAUGAUGAAGAUACCAAGAAGCUCAUGGCAUAAAAUGAAGAGAGAGGUCGGCCCAAUAUUCUUGAAUCUGUAGGACAUGGAAGAAUUGCCCUAUGGCAUGGCAAGGUCAGUAGAGAGGGCAUUGUCAUGAUCGAACCAUCAUUCUUGAGGCAUUUGUAUCACAUGAUCUUUGGAUUUGGCAUGCAUACUCUAGGAUGCCUGGCUCUCACAAUGAUCUCAGUGUCCUCUCUUGAUCUCCUCUUUUUGUAAGGCAUGUUGCCGUUGACAAUCCACCUUGCAACUAUGUUGUCAAUGGCAAUGAGUAUAACGUGGGAUACUAUUGAGCCGACGAGAUCUAUCCUCCACAGGCCACAUUUGUGAAGACAAUCCACCGUCUUAAAGGCAACAAGAAAUCUCACUUUGCAACUAUGCAAGAAUCUCCUAGAAAGGAUGUUGAGAGAGCUUUUGGUGUGCUUCAACGAUGCUUUGUGAUUGUCUAUGGCCCUGCUGAGUAUAUCAGAACCCGGAGAUCGUAUGGAAAAUCAUGACAACAUGUGUUAUCUUGCAUAACAUGAUCAUUGAGGAUGAGAGGACCCGUAGGACUUUCGGUAUCUCUUCAAUGGGCACCUGGUGGAGCCGGAACAUAACCCAGACAAGAUUGAAGCCUUCCUCCAAGCACACCGAAAUACAAUAACCGUCAAGCUCAGAACUAACUUCAAGAAGAUCUUAUUGAGAAGAUUGGCGCCUUUAUAGCACCGAUUCUUGUGCUUUUACCAUGUUUAUUUGGAUUCUUAAUUCAUUUGGACCAUUUGUUGUGUUUUGAACUUGCAUGGUUAUGUUUGAGAAUAUCAAAUUUGCUAUGUAUUUGAAUUGUAUGUACCUGAAUUCUUAAGUAUUGAACUAAUAUGAUGUGAUAAAGUUUGGAAACGGUUGGAUGGAUUAGCAAAACAAUAUUUUUAAGAGAAUAAGUUUUAGGGGAUCUGCCAGCUGAGGAAAUGUUUAAUCCUUUUUUUUACUUUUUGGGAUAGGAAGAGGGUUUGAGGAUUAAGUUUAGGGCAUUUGUUAGAGAUGCUCUAAGAUCUCGAAACCUAGUCAUGGUUUUGGCAUGUGGAUAGAUAACUUCCAUGCACCCAUUUCCAUGGCUAGUUCUUUCGUGAUACUCUAGUCCUUCAGGUCUCUCUUUAUGGACUCCUCCCAUAUCAAGUUUGCUCUACCCCAACCUCUCUUAACACUAUCAACAUGUUUUAUCCUUCCGCUAUGCACUACACCGGCGCUUCUGGAGUCCUAUGUUGUAUAUGCUCAAACUAUCUCAUAUGAUGUUGGACAUUUCUCUUCAACUGGUGCUACCCCAACUCUAUCACGUAUAUCAUCAUUCCGGACCCGGUCCUUUCUUCUGUGGCCACAUAUCCAUCUAAGCAUGCGCAUCUCUACUACUCCUAACUGUUGGACAUGUCGCCUUUUAGUCUCGAAAUAGGCUUUCGCCCCGCUUUAUAAAUAAAGCAACGGAAUUGAGGUCCUUUAGCCUGAUUUGGGACAUCCGCCUGCCCCUGAAAAUCAGGAUCUUCCUGUGGCAGUGGAUCCGGGGACGCCUUCCCUCUGGGAUUGAGGUCCUCAAGCGUAAUGGACCUGGCGACGGAAUGUGUCCCAUGUUUGGCAUGGUGGAGGAUGCUAACCACAUCUUCUUCUCUUGCCACACAACACAGUUCCUAUGGUCCUGCUUCCGCGAGACGGUCGGCGGACAGUGGUGCAACACCAACUUCCAUGACUUGUUUGCGGAAAUCCACGCCUCCCCCCCCUCGCCACCGCCAUAUUAGAUGGUUGUGUGUUGGGGUCCUCGCCUGGACGCUUUGGACCAUCCGCAACAAGCUUGUUAUUCAGAAAAUGCCUCUCUGACGUGCGACUGACGCGAUCUUCAAAUUGUGUGGUUACUUGCAGCUCUGGCGGUCGCUUAGCCGCCCCCAGGACCGGGACACCAUCAACACCCUUCUCGCCGACCUUCGCUCGAUGGCCUUCCACGUGGCGCCCCUGCUGCCGCCCCCUCCUCCGGAGCCCGAUUAGACUUGUUGCUCUGGUUGCUGUGUGUGAGUGUGUGUUUUGUUUCCAGGGCUUGUUGAGCUGUGUCCUCAGCAUUAACCCUAUUUGCUACUUUUUGUGAGACUUGUGUGUGUGUGUGAACCUUAAUGGAUGUUUGGCUUGGGCGGUUUGCUUUAUAUAUAAAGCGGGGCGAAAGCCUUUUUGGGUAUAAAUAAAGCAACAACCCAAAAAGUACAUGGUCGGGCGAU
rnacentral:lncRNA from 1 species